UACAGAGGGUGCAAGCGUUAAUCGGAGUUACUGGGCGUAAAGCGUGCGCAGGCGGUUCGUUGUGUCGGCGGUGAAAGCCCCGGGCUCAACCUGGGAAUGGCCGUUGAAACUGGCGAACUGGAGUGUGGCAGAGGGGGGUGGAAUUCCGCGUGUAGCAGUGAAAUGCGUAGAGGUGCGGAGGAACACCGAUGGCGAAGGCAGGUCUCUGGGCCACUACUGACGCUGAGAAGUGAAAGCAUGGGGAGCGAACAGG
rnacentral:rRNA from 1 species